rnacentral:rRNA from 1 species
CCUACGGGUGGCUGCAGUGAGGAAUAUUGGUCAAUGGGCGCGAGCCUGAACCAGCCAAGUAGCGUGAAGGAUGACUGCCCUACGGGUUGUAAACUUCUUUUAUACAGGAGUAAAGUGAGGCACGUGUGCCUUUUUGUAUGUACUUUAUGAAUAAGGAUCGGCUAACUCCGUGCCAGCAGCCGCGGUAAUACGGAGGAUCCGAGCGUUAUCCGGAUUUAUUGGGUUUAAAGGGAGCGUAGAUGGGUUGUUAAGUCAGUUGUGAAAGUUUGCGGCUCAACCGUAAAAUUGCAAUUGAUACUGGCAGUCUUGAGUACAGUUGAGGUAGGCGGAAUGCGUGGUGUAGCGGUGAAAUGCUUAGAUAUCACGAAGAACUCCGAUUGCGAAGGCAGCUUACUAAACUGCCACUGACAUUGAUGCUCGAAAGUGUGGGGAGCAAACAGGAUUAGAUACCCGAGUAGUC